rnacentral:lncRNA from 1 species
CUCAUUUUGUGUCCCAAAUGGCCAACAGAAUGGAAACUCAGGGUCACCUGGGUUGAGGAUAUGUCUCCAAGGUGAAGGCCAAUUGUGUGCUUGCUUAAACUCUCUAGGUUUCUGUUUUCACUAGGGUUUUGCUCCUAAGAAUGCCUUACCCUGAUGCCAGUUUGACGAUGUAUUUAGAAAUAGGUUUUUGAAGAAAUAUCUUAUAUAGAAUUUUUGUGGUUUUUAGUGGGAGAGUAUGUAGUCUGCUAUUGUGCUGAACAGGGAAGUUGUUCUUUCUCUUAGCCUCAACCUUAAUACAGCAUUUAUUAUUCACUCAAGAUAUCUCCAUUUGUGGGGCGCCUGGGUGGCUCAGUCGUUAAGCGUCUGCCUUCAGCUGAGGGCGUGAUCCCGGGGUCCUGGGAUCAAGCGCCCCAUCGGGCUCCUCCACUGGGAGCCUGCUUCUUCCUCUCCCACUCCCCCUGUUUGUGUUCCCUCUCUUGCUGGCCAUCUCUCUCUCUCUGUCAAAUAAAAUCUUAAAAAAAAAAAAGAUAUCUCCAUUUGUUUUAUGACAUCGGUUCUCUUUUUUCUUUCUUUUACUUUACUGGGGGUCUUGGGUUGGGCAUCAAGAAGGCUGGGUUUUGUGCUUGACCUUCCUCUCUUACACCUUGUUUUCUUACCUAUUAAUAGCCAGUUGCUAAGAUGCCUUCCAGCACUGCCUAUGGUUCUGUGCCGUCUGCCUCUUUCAAGAAACAGCCUGCUUUAGCUGCCAUUGGCUGCCCAAUUCCCGGAGUAUCGAGGAGACCCAAGGGGUCCCACACCUGGAGAAUCUGGAGAGUUUGGGAGGAGACCUGAGCUCAAUACAAAAGGAGACACUGCUGAAGGAAGAAACGAUAAUCUAGUCCGAGAGAGUGUCAGCUGUGUGAAUGCGGGGGGCGUGGAGGCUGAAGGGGCAGCCGGUCUCUGCCGCUUCUCAUGAGCUUCCUGAGUCAGAUCGGUGCUCCCCUUCCCCGUACUCACAGUGAUUCUGUCUUGCUUGUAUUUGCAAUUUAUUAAAAUUGUUUUUGAAUUAUUCUGUGUUUCCUGAAUGCUUUGUUUUUUGGGUUUUUUUUUUGCAGGUGUUUUCAAUAGAAGAACUACUGUCUGUUAAUCCAAACCUCAGAAAAACAGCCUGGAGGACAGCAGGGGAGGAAGGAAUAUGACAAAAUGAUC